CGGCCGCGGUAAAACGUAGGUGACAAGCGUUAUCCGGAUUUACUGGGGGGAAAGCGUGUGCAGGCGGGGGGAUAAGUGGUGUAUGAAAUCGCUCGGCUUAACCGGGCGCGGUUAUGCCAGACUGUCCUUCUGGAACGCGAGAGAGGAGCGUGGAAUUCCGGGUGUAGUGGUGAAAUGCGUAGAGAUCCGGAGGAACCCCAGAGGCGAAGGCGGCGCUCUGGCUCGCGACUGACGCUCAGACACGACAGCAUGGGGAGCGAA
rnacentral:rRNA from 1 species